GACGAACGCUGGCGGCGUGCUUAACACAUGCAAGUCGAACGGAAAGGCCCUGCUUUUGUGGGGUGCUCGAGUGGCGAACGGGUGAGUAACACGUGAGUAACCUGCCCUUGACUUUGGGAUAACUUCAGGAAACUGGGGCUAAUACCGGAUAGGAGCUCCUGCUGCAUGGUGGGGGUUGGAAAGUUUCGGCGGUUGGGGAUGGACUCGCGGCUUAUCAGCUUGUUGGUGGGGUAGUGGCUUACCAAGGCUUUGACGGGUAGCCGGCCUGAGAGGGUGACCGGCCACAUUGGGACUGAGAUACGGCCCAGACUCCUACGGGAGGCAGCAGUGGGGAAUAUUGCACAAUGGGCGGAAGCCUGCUGCAGCAACGCCGCGUGCGGGAUGACGGCCUUCGGGUUGUAAUCCGCUUUCGCCUGUGACGAAGCGUGAGUGACGGUAAUGGGUAAAGAAGCACCGGCUAACUACGUG
rnacentral:rRNA from 1 species